UCGUCAAGUUAGGGGUGAAACCCACACCUUGUCGAUUAAGUCCCAUUCCUCGAUUUUUGAUCUCGCCAAAGUUUCGAUUGUUUCAAUCGAUUAGAGACGUGGUUUAUGCAGAAUCACUUGGGUUAAUUGGAAGGGUAAGAUACCGUUAAUCGCUUCUCGACGAGAGUAUCUUAUCUAUAGGCCAAAGCACGUUUCUCUAAUUUGAAAGGACUUUCGGUUCACUUUGGAAUAGUCGACGUUUCUAAACCCGAAACAAUCCUAUGUUUUAUGAGCCUCUCUUUUAUGUGACUCAAUUUCUAUGUGAUUUUUAUACUUGUUACCUCGUUCAUUUCAAAACCGUUACACAUUUCGCACGUCU
rnacentral:lncRNA from 1 species